ACUCUAAAAAUGGCUGGGUUAUUUUUUAACCCAAAAUGCUGGGUUGAGUCUGUUGGGUUGUUUUGCUGGGUUAUUUUUUUACAUUUUAAACACUUUUUGGGUAGUUUCAGUUUUCUAGGUGUUGGGUUAAAACUGCUGGGUUAUUAUGUUGGGUUGUUUGAAGAGGCUCACGUGCUUCGCGCCCUUGAUGUUUGAAUGUGCUCAGCAAUGGUCGUCGUAAAGGACAGAGUCACUGAAGCAGUUGUUUCAAGGUAAGUUUAUAUGCUUUUGUGAACAUUUCAUGAAUAUAAACAAGAUUAUAACAUUUUGCGAGACAGCAACGUGUUAAUUUAUACUGACUAAGACGACGGGUGUAAUUUAGAGGAAUGACGACUGUUACCUCAGAUCGCCAUUUACACAAAUUGACUUGAAUAAUCGUUCUAAGAUGUUUGAUAUGGCAUAUUAAUAAAAUUAAUAAAACAGAUGUUACAAAAUCCCCAUCACACGGUUGAUUACGUUAACUCAUGACAAUUUCUGUAAGCCUUUAACAAAGCGAGUCAAAACCGGUACAGAGUGGACCUCCGCAACCCACUUCGGCUUUUUGUGUCACACACGCGCAUAGUUUUCCCUUUCCCAGCUUAACAAGCGAUAGCGACGCUGUUAAAUUAAAUUUAGCGACAAACGAAUUGCUUUCUUGUCAUUCGAUAUGUAAAGACAGACCGCAAAGGGCGAGGCGCGAGCAGAAGCACAUGUUAACUUUACCGGCGGCGCCGCGGCGGAGGAUCACGGAGCCGUCGUCUACGCUGUCACUGAGGCAAAGACAAGAAGCACAUUCACUUCACAGUCGGUACGGCAGGUAACGCGUCGAUAAAUUAAAACGAAACAGCGUUUCCAAGAACUGGUGUCUUAUAUGUAUGCUUGUUCCUCUCUUUUAAAAUGAAACAAUAAUUUAAGUGUUUGAAUAUGAACUUGAAAACAUAAACGUAUUUGUCACCAAGACGGAGGCUGCGUGGAAGUGACUAUCUGUUAACAAACAUGUAUAUGUGUACUGUUAUAUGAAUUUAGAUGUGUUAUUGAGUCGUAUUUAGUUACUAUUUUAUAUUCAUUUCAUAAUAUUUUUGGGUUGUCUCCUGUGAUUUCAAAUGUAUAUUGACCAACCCUCUGAUCUGUGGCUGAUACUGUAUCAGAGAUGUUAUGUUUUUAGCAGAGAUCAGAUGUGAUGUUGUUUUCCAAUUCUUUUUUUUAGAGUGUGCAGAGUUUUUUAACGUCCAUCCAUUGAUGAGGCUAGCAAGACCUUCAAACAACUUCAGCCAAUUGCAACAAAUGUGGUGGAAUUUCUUCUCUGGACAGAAUCCUCGAAACCCUUUCCUUUCGUCCUGGCCAUGGGAAACAUGCAGCAGAUCUCUCAAUCUUUUUUCUCAAUCAGUCUCUCUGAAUACGGAAGUGACUUAAACUGCAAUUCGGCCAAGAUGGCGACGGCACGCACCGCCUACUUUAAGCUUCAAAAAUGCUCUUCACAAACCAAUGGGUGACGUCACAGACACUACUUGCAUAUUUUUUACAGUCUCUGGUUUAAAGGCAUUUUAAGUGCUUAAAAAAAUAAAUACCCCAGGCAAUGUGCUUCUAUGGGAAUUCCUGUAGUCUGUCAUUUUUCAAAUGGAUGAAUCCCCUGCUGUUCGAUUCCUUUGUACAUCUUUGUUCGCGACGAGUAACUUUAAUAAAUGAAGUAUUUUUAGUCAAAUACAUUCCAUUCUGUGAAACUUAAAACAUUUGUUCUUUAAAAAAACUUUACA